CCUGGUAGUAGGUUAAUCCCCUAGCAUGCUCAACUUGCUUUUCUUUGAAAAUAACUCAAUAUAGACAGCUUUUAUUUUCUCAGCUUGUUUAUCUUCUCUCCACACCUAAAAAGCUACACCAAAGAAGGAAAAAUACUGUACAAGCAGACUGGAAGCUUGCAGCAAAUCCCUACAGUCCCAAUCAGAUGACAUGACUGCAAUCCACGAAUGGGAAACAUGCCAUUUCCAGCUUGCAGCGUGCAGAGAGCCAGGCCUACACGCGUCUUUGUGACUCAACCAGCUCUGGGUGUGCGUCUAUCUGUGUUUGUGUGUGCAUGAUGGUUGGUGCAGCAGGGCUAAAACACCCACGUCCUGCUGCGUGAACCCAGCGCCACCUGUCGCCCAGUCUGGAACGGCCCCUGCUAUCCACACGUCAUCUGUGGGCAUGAGCCUUUUGGCCCUCCUGCAUCUCACACACACCCUCAUAUCACAUUUGAGGCGGGUAAAACCAUGAAUAUUCAAUCAGAGACAAAGUAUUGGGCCCAUAUGUCCUAAUAUGUAUUGUAUGUCUGUCUGUGUUAUGCAACCUCAAGAGGGAAAUCAAAAACAUAUGGAGAACACGAUGAAAGAGUAUAGAUGAAGGUCUCUUCUCUGCCCUUUUAUUAAUACUGAAAGAAAAAAAAAGAUCUAAACCACAAUGGAAAGAUUCCAAAUCUAUCUUAUGGCUAACAGGUUCCUUUGAGACUCUGCUUUGGAAGAAAGUGGAACAUAAGAAGAAUGUGCCCUAAGUCUUUAUGUCUUCUCUGUUUUCAGUGGAAUAAAACAGGAUGCCCGCUGUUCAAUUAAAUCCAGUCAGACAGAAAUUCAUGCA